rnacentral:misc_RNA from 1 species
GAUGAAGAACGCAGCGAAAUGCGAUAAGUAGUGUGAAUUGCAGAAUUCAGUGAAUCAUCGAAUCUUUGAACGCACAUUGCGGCCAUAGGUAUUCCUUUGGCCAUGCCUGUUCGAGCGUCAUUUACACCCUCAAGCCUAGCUUGGUGUUGGGCGUCUGUCCCGCCGUUCUCGCGCGCGGACUCGCCUCAAAGUCAUUGGCGGCGGUCGUGCCGGCCCCCUCGCGCAGCACAUUUGCGCUUCUCGGAGGCCCGGCGGAUCCGCGCUCCAGCAAGACCUUUCACGACUUGACCUCGGAUCAGGUAGGGAUACCCGCUGAACUUAAGCAUAUCAAUAGCGGAGGA